GGGGGCGACCCGGCUUCGACGUGGGUGGCAAAACCAAAGGUGCAUGCCGAGAAUGAGACUUCUCGUAAAUCAGACUCAAUAAACAUAAAUGCAAAUGAUGAAAUCUACGCUGAAAGUGACGCUAUCGCUGCUUAAUUGAUAGCCAACUAGAAGCACCGUGCGCUGCCAAAAACCAGCGCCCCGCUUGACCGAGCUCGCUUAUCGGUAUCGAAUCGGCGGUCAUAAAAGAUAAGCUAGUGGCCUAAUUUGUCCUGCGUUAGGUUGCGAAACUCAAGGACUAGCCCAACAACAUCCUGCCAGUCGGAGGUUACGAGGCGAACUCUAAAAGACCCGGCUACGCAUGUAGAUCUAAUGGCAGAGUGCUUGCGGAC
rnacentral:tmRNA from 1 species